rnacentral:rRNA from 1 species
GAUCGACAGAUAGUGAGGCAGUACCGUGAGGGAAAGGCGAAAAGAACCCCGGGAGGGGAGUGAAAUAGAACCUGAAACCGGAUGCAUACAAACAGUGGGAGCGGACUUGUUCCGUGACUGCGUACCUUUUGUAUAAUGGGUCAGCGACUUACGUUCAGUAGCAAGCUUAACCGAAUAGGGGAGGCGUAGGGAAACCGAGUCCGAAUAGGGCGCUUUAGUUGCUGGGCGUAGACCCGAAACCGAGUGAUCUAUCCAUGGCCAGGAUGAAGGUGCGGUAACACGCACUGGAGGUCCGAACCCACUAGUGUUGCAAAACUAGGGGAUGAGCUGUGGAUAGGGGUGAAAGGCUAAACAAACUCGGAGAUAGCUGGUUCUCUCCGAAAACUAUUUAGGUAGUGCCUCAAGUAUCACCAUCGGGGGUAGAGCACUGUUAUGGCUAGGGGGUCAUUGCGACUUACCAAACC